GUACCCCCUCUUCCAGCAGAGUCAGCUAUCCCCACUGUACCCCCUCUUCCAGCAGAGUCAGCUAUCCCCACUGUACCCCCUCUUCCAGCAGUCAGCUAUCCCCACUGUACCCCCUCUUCCAGCAGUCAGCUAUCCCCACUGUACCCCCUCUUCCAGCAUGGUCAGCUAUUCCCACUGUACCCCCUCUUCCAGCAGAGUCAGCUAUCCCCACUGUACCCCCUCUUCCAGCAUGGUCAGCUAUCCCCACUGUACCCCCUCUUCCAGCAGAGUCAGCUAUCCCCACUGUACCCCCUCUUCCAGCAGAGUCAGCUAUCCCACACUGUACCCCCUCUUCCAGCAGAAUCAGCUAUCCACACUGUACCCCCUCUUCCAGCAGAGUCAGCUAUCCCCACUGUACCCCCUCUUCCAGCAGAGUCAGCUAUCCCCACUGUACCCCCUCUUCCAGCAGAGUCAGCUAUCCCCACUGUACCCCCUCUUCCAGCAGAGUCAGCUAUUCCCACUGUACCCCCUCUUCCAGCAGAGUCAGCUAUCCCCACUGUACCCCCUCUUCCAGCAGAGUCAGCUAUCCCCACUGUACCCCCUCUUCCAGCAGAGUCAGCUAUCCCCACUGUACCCCCUCUUCCAGCAGAGUCAGCUAUCCCCACUGUACCCCCUCUUCCAGCAGAGUCAGCUAUCCCCACUGUACCCCCUCUUCCAGCAUGGUCAGCUAUCCCCACUGUACCCCCUCUUCCAGCAGAGUCAGCUAUCCCCACUGUACCCCCUCUUCCAGCAUGGUCAGCUGACUGCAAUGUCUGUGUGUUUCUGCAAAGUGUGUUCUGUGUGUGUGUGUGUGUGUGUGUGUACACACUGUAACAGAGUUAGGGACAGAGAUCAAAGAAGACGACAGACAUGUCAGAAGCUGUGCUGUUGGAGAGAAGGACUAGGACCAUGUGGAGGAAGGGGCAGAGGUAUGAGAGAGCAAAGUAGAGCGAGAUGGAGCAUAGAGAUGAUGUGA
rnacentral:lncRNA from 1 species